rnacentral:rRNA from 1 species
AUUAAGAGCUUGCUCUUAUGAAGUUAGCGGCGGUACGGGUGAGUAACACGUGGGUAACCUGCCCAUAAGACUGGGAUAACUCCGGGAAACCGGGGCUAAUACCGGAUAACAUUUUGAACUGCAUGGUUCGAAAUUGAAAGGCGGCUUCGGCUGUCACUUAUGGAUGGACCCGCGUCGCAUUAGCUAGUUGGUGAGGUAACGGCUCACCAAGGCAACGAUGCGUAGCCGACCUGAGAGGGUGAUCGGCCACACUGGGACUGAGACACGGCCCAGACUCCUACGGGAGGCAGCAGUAGGGAAUCUUCCGCAAUGGACGAAAGUCUGACGGAGCAACGCCGCGUGAGUGAUGAAGGCUUUCGGGUCGUAAAACUCUGUUGUUAGGGAAGAACAAGUGCUAGUUGAAUAAGCUGGCACCUUGACGGUACCUAACCAGAAAGCCACGGCUAACUACGUGCCAGCAGCCGCGGUAAUACGUAGGUGGCAAGCGUUAUCCGGAAUUAUUGGGCGUAAAGCGCGCGCAGGUGGUUUCUUAAGUCUGAUGUGAAAGCCCACGGCUCAACCGUGGAGGGGUCAUUGGAAACUGGGGAGACU